AUAAGUCUGGAAUCAUUAAAGAAUUUGCCAAACUACUGUCUAAUCUCUAUGCUUUGGCUCAAUUACAGGAGGGGUGCUGCAUUUUUCCUGUCAUCAUGGUGUUGUGUACUACAUAAACUUUUUAUUCUGGACCGAAUCUGCCAGGGACCAUGUUGAUGAUCUCCUCAGCUUCCGUUACUUCCCAACCUGUUUCAUUUCAGAUGUGUCUGGCCAAGUGGCAAGACACAUGAAUAAUCGAAGUAAGCAGCUCUUCUUUCAGCCAAACGAUGGCAGACUAUGCCAAGCCACAAAAGAAAAUCUAAAGCUUGCAGAGGACAAACAAUUAAGCGUGCAUUUACCAUGGGUGGCAAGCCUUAAAACGGCAUACUCAUUGAAACCGCAGCAAAAAGACAGUAAUCCAUGGAUCACACCUCAUCCAGUUACCAACACAAUGGAACGAUAUGCACUCUAUGACCGUUUCCACCAGAAGAACCAGAGGAGACCAGAAGAAAAACUCAGGAGUUUAAACCUUUGUCCUGACCUGCGUUCCUGCAUCAAUUCGUCAGUUGCAGAGCAACUUAAUCGAGAGCUAGCAGCUAUCCGAUACUCUCUCACUCAGAUGAAUGAAGUGCACUUUAAACAGUCACAAUUCUCACUGAAGUACACAACUGCAACAUAAAUGCGAAGUUCACAGAUGAAAUGAGGAAGCAGUCAUCCGUCUCUCUCAAACUGGGUCAGAUGGGUACACUUGUGUUCCAAACUGAAGGUCAGUUUAAGCUUUUUUGCACAUAAAUCUGCACUGCACAAGAAAUGCCACUUGCAAGUCAAAGACAUUGAUAUUUAUAUUGAUUUUAUUUAAAAGGUCCAGACAUUAAGUAUUUCAUCUGCAGCAUUUCUUGUCCAGAAAUUUAAAUGAAAGGACAUGCAAUUACAAAAUAAGUCCGUCAUUUCCAGAAUUAUUAAGUGUGUAAAUAAGAAUGUCCACUGAAACGGUCUCACUCUCUGUCAUUUUCAACGACAAAUGCUAGUAUGACGAUGCCAUGUAAAGUACCACGAGAGACGAUGUCAAUGGACAAGAAAACCCACAGCACAUUUAAAGCCAGUAACUAAAGCAUAACUGAAGAGAACAAGACACUAUUAAGAAGUCUUUUAGCUGGAGCACGGAAUGAGAUGCAGAGUGUAGCCAAAAUUGGGAGAAGAUUCUCAGUCUCAUUAUGAGACAUAAAGAGUGUUUGUCCCCUUGACAUACUGGAGGGGACAUCUUGGACGAUGCCAUGGCUGACAGAUGAUGUGAGUUUGAGAGUUUUGUUAUGUCAAAAUUUUUUAUAAAACACAUUACUAUGAUUACUUUGACUUUAAGACUUUGAUCAUGUUUAUGUCAUCUAAAAAUGUAACAUUCAUUUUUUUUUAAAGUUGCAUUGUCCUUUCUUCUCAGGCUGUCAAUUUCAGGGUUACACAAAUAGUGAGAGACUGCUCUAAGGUAUAGGACGUUGUUUUUUUAACGCAUUAACAGACAAUUACAAAAAAAUGUUUGCUUUAUGCACUUUAUACACUUACACAACAUAUUUUUGUAACAACAAAAGACUGACUUAAUUUUUUUGUUCACUGCACAGUCUACCAGUUUAGGGCGCUUUGACUUCGUCCUGUGGACUCGACAUUGGGCACAACAUGGCAGCGUGCAGGAAAACACUCUGAAGCACAUACAGAUUGCAGAUAAAAUCUUUAUACCAAGGCUUGUGGGACACAGUACUGCGGAAAUGGGCAAUAACUUCAUUCUGUGGGUUCUAGACUUUCCAAGCAAGGAAAUUCGAGUGUUUGACUUCCUCAACAGAUACCCAACAAUAACAACUGAUGACAUGACACUUGUAAGUGAUGUUUUCAGGAAAGCAGGUGGACUGAAAGGAUGGAAAAUCAUGUAUCCAAUCCAGUAGAGACAGCGGGACAAUGACAACUGUGGCAUUUUUGUGUGCACAGCAGGUGAGAAUGAGGUCAAGAACAGACUUAUCAACAACAAGGAUCUCACACUGAGCCAGUGUCAGAUCCUAAGGAGACACAUGUUUCUCAGAUGAUUCAGGGCCUCAAUGUUGAAGAUUUCCCACUCACCGAAGAAGAAGCUGAAAAACUGGAUGAGGAGGAAGCUGUAAUUCAGCUUCAGGGAAAAAAAAAAAAAAAAAAAACUGAUUCCAAUUGCCAUUGCUUGGCAUGGAGAAAAAAUGUCUGUGCCUUUCAAAGGGUAGAAGGCACAAAAAGAACACUACACUCCCAGGUGAAAAACUUCUCUUGGCUUCAGUGCAAAGGCUGUGGAAGUUGGAUCCACUUUUAAUGUGCAGGAUUGCAAGGAGACUGGACAAAAAAAGACUUCCUUUGCGGGUGUCACCGAAAUGCUCGAUCAUUCAUGUAAGUAUAUAACAAUGUAUUUAACACUUUAAAGCAUAAAGUGCUUAAAUGUCUCCAUCACCUGAAAGAACAUAAAGGCCUGGCUA